GACUUGGCUUCGAGAUCUUAUGGGUUUCAACUCUAGCCUACCCCAACUUGUUUGGGACUGAAAGGCUUGGUUGUUGUUGUUGUUGUUGUUGUUGUUGUUGUCUUUCACAACAUUGCUUUCAGUGAAAAACAAAAAAAAUUCCACCAAAUAUAGACCCUGCAGAAUACUUCCCUUAGAGGGCCAAUUAGUUUCUAAUGUAUUCAUCUUUUAGAAUCGAGAUCCCUUCUGAGUGGGUGCAUGCCAAAGCAAAAGGACGCUACUCUAUGUUAGAAUGCGGGUACUGAAAUGAUCUACCAGUGGAAGGGUCAGAUGCUUCUGCACAUGACUCCUGCAAAGAAUAUGUUUUCAAGAACCUCAUCAUAUGUGUUAUCUUGUGAUUUAUAUUAUUUGUUUAAUGGUAAAUAAAAUAUCUAGAAACAUCGGCACAUAUUUUCUUUUCUAUGAGACUUACAGGCGCCAUAUCUCCAGGGAGCCUUCCAGCUGCAGACUUUGCGGUCAGAGAUUAUUACUAUAUCCCACCCUGGUGAACUGGGAUAUAUGUUUGCCUUAUAAUGGCCUUUUAGCAUUUAUGGCAGCAUUUGAAAGGAUGAUGAUAUUAAAAUACAUUAUAUGCCAUUGGAUAUGGAUUUAUUUCUGCUGAAACCUAGGAUAUAUCUCUGAUUAUUAAAAUUCAUAGUCGUUUAAUUACUAGAUCACUUGUUGUUGGUUCACUUAUUGUUUCCUUUUUUUACUGUCUACUAAGGAGGCAACUUUAAACUUACAUAGUGUGUUCCCCCACGUUUACGGCUAUGAAAUCUUUAGCUAUACAGAAUUAUUUUGGGGAAAAAGUUAAAAUCAGCGUGGCCCACUUGCUAGUGUUUCUAGAAGAUACACUAGCCUUACAAACCUAUUUGCUAACUAUAAAACGGUGACGUCAUAACUAAGUAAUGAAUUUCCAUGUCUUCCAGUAUAAAAAUAGGUUGGAUAUGAUGCUUCAUGGUCCACUGCCUUAUUGUCAAGCACUGUCGGUUGUUGUAUGCUUGUCAUGCUACACGGUUGAAUUUUCCACACGAGCCAUUUGGAUUCUAGGAAAACCAUGAGCAUAAGUAACAAAAUCAUCUGACAGUAUUCUCAUAGUGUUACAUUAGAUAGAGUCUAGGUAGGUUGGUAAUGUAACACAAUUGCUGAAAGCGAGAGAAUGGCGAUCGAAUGGUGCCGACUUGCUAAUCUUCGAGAAGAGCUUUCCGCUAAAUCAUGCCUCGAUUCAGCGUAGGGACAACUAUCUGAUUAAGUAUCGUUCAGUUAAAUAGAGAAAUUAUCUAGGCUAUCAGCUAUCUGAUUGGUAUGCAGAGUAAUAAAUAUAGAAAUAAUUGUGUUUUAGACUUCCAUAAUACCUUGAAUAUACUUGCUGUAGGGGAUUAUCCAGGUAAUUGCUCAUGAUCAUAGCUAGUUCUCUGAUAUCUGUACUCUUUCUGCGUCAUCAUUGCAUCUUCUUUCAGUUAAAGUUAAUCGUCAGUUUACUGCCAACUUGUGCAUACCCUAUCUCUGUGGUCUAGUAGUACUUGGAUCUUGGAUCUUGAUAGCGAUGAAGUAAAUUACAAAACUGGCAUAUGUUUAGGCUAGCCGGGCUAUCUCUGAUUUUUGUAUGCAUUACUCAUUCUUUAGAGUAUAUGCCUUGCAUGGAAAAUCAUAUUCUUAUAUUGUUAGCAAUGUCACUGCAAUCACAAAAUUCAAAAUUAUACUUGCAAUUUGACGAGCAAUAUUGCCUUCUGCAGGCACUGCCUUCUUCAGGUGGAGUUAAAUUGAGGUCUUGAAACACCAUGGCUCAAGAGCUUGAUCCUGGCAAUCUGCUGCUGCUGGUGGCGGCGAGGUGCUGAUCUGAUGGGGUCUGGCGCCUUGGAGCACGGGGUCGGCGACACAUUGGGCUAGCAGACGCACAUGCCGGCGACGUGUUACAUCAUUGCUUAAACCGAAUAUUUGUUUUGAUUCUGAUGCAUUCAUUCUUGAGCAGCUGGAGGAGUCGAUGGAUCGGACAAGUUCUCGGAGCACUGCAGAUCAUGGUGCCUAACAAUCAGCAACAGUUCAUCAGCAUCCUGACCGGCCACGUCAACAGCCGCGUGAUCCCCGUGAGCAGAUUCAGAUGCAAGCAUGGUUGAUCAGCCCGGAAAGCAGUCGUCCCCCGCGGUCAUCGUUGUCGAUAAUGAAGGCGAUGGUGUCUUCGCGGUGGCAGUAGGCGAGCACGGUUUUGUCCUUGGUGACAGUGUCGUAAGUCCGGUCCUCUGUCCUGACCUGGACGCGGAGGACCGCGAGCGUGGCGGAUGGCAUGGGACGAUCCCGCUCGCCACCACCUCGGUACCCCGGGUGCCCAAGCGGAGGCAGUGAUGGCUCUGCGCGUGCUCUCCUUCUGUCACUCCGCGUCGAGCUGCACGGAGCUUCUGGUGGCAGGAGGUAUUCACAUAGAGGAAAAACAUGAACGAUGCCACAUGGCGUCCAUCACAAAUCAAGGAGAUCUACAUGAGAGAUGCCCAGCAGAAUACUAGCCCAUGCGGUGGAGGUGCUCUUAGCUAAAUUCUACGGUGUGAAGUUACUCACAUUAUUUAGUCUCAAGAUAAGAUUAUAGAAGCUGAUUGUCGGAAUCUAAUACAGAAACAUGAUCGUGCCUAAGCAGUUGAUCCAGCAUUCUAGUGACUGCCAUUGCUAUGUGGCCAGUUCCAAUUGUAAGCUGAAUGUGAUAAGUUUAGUCAGGUCUAGUGUGUUAUAUGUAGCGUAAUAUUAUUUGCGUCUUGCGUUGUAGAAAAGUAUGACCAAUCAGGGUACUUAUUACUAUACAACAUCUUCA